CCGGCGCACGGGUGCGUACAGUAUGCACCUACCUUUAUCUGGGGGAUAGCCUUCGAAAGGAAGAUUAAUACCCCAUAAUAUGUUGAAUGGCAUCAUUCGACAUUGAAAACUCCGGUGGAUAGAGAUGGGCACGCGCAAGAUUAGAUAGUUGGUGAGGUAACGGCUCACCAAGUCUACGAUCUUUAGGGGGCCUGAGAGGGUGAUCCCCCACACUGGUACUGAGACACGGACCAGACUCCUACGGGAGGCAGCAGUGAGGAAUAUUGGACAAUGGGUGAGAGCCUGAUCCAGCCAUCCCGCGUGAAGGACGACUGCCUAUGGGUUGUAAACUUCUUUUGUAUAGGGAUAAACCUACCCUCGUGAGGGUAGCUGAAGGUACUAUAACGAAUAAGCACCGGCUAACUCCGUGCCAGCAGCCGCGGUAAAUACGGAGGGUGCAAGCGUUAUCCGGAUUAUUGGGUUUAAAGGGUCCGUAGCGGAUCCUGUAAAGUCAGUGGGUGGAAAAUCUCAACAGGUUUAACUUGUUGAAACUUGGCCAAUUUGAAUAACUGGCAGGGUUCUUGAAGUGUUGGUUGAAAGGUAGCUGGGAAAUAAAGUAGU
rnacentral:rRNA from 1 species